GACCCAUCCAACCAGUUCGACGAAGCGAACUCCGACCGAACUUAAUCGAAACAUCAAGGGA
rfam:Drosophila pseudoobscura pseudoobscura strain MV2-25 chromosome 2, whole genome shotgun sequence.